UGGGUGUUGGUCUGCUCAAGGCUGAGCAAAGCCCCGCUGGACUUUGUUUUCUGCACCUCCUCUGCUUUUCAGGGUGAGAAGCCGGCAGCAGACACAGACGAUGGCUUCCGGCCACACCACGGGCAGGAGCCAGGCUUGUCAGCUAACUGGACCUGGUCAUGGCUGCUGGAGCUUUCCAUUCUCAUUCCCCAAGGAGCCAAGGCUGCCAGGAACCUUCACACCCCUUGCUUCUGGGCUCAGAGGAGGCAUAAGCGCACACUAGCGCACCCUCCCAGAGUGCAGGCAUGAAACCAGCAUCCGUGGGGAGGAACCUACUGGGGAAAACACCCCAGCGGUUCCCUGUGUGCACUGCGAAGAGGACAUGGAACCUCCUGCCUCGGGCUGGCUGCCAGGGGAGCAGGCCCUGCCAGGGGGUGACAGAGGCCAUGCCAGGACACCACCCAAGCCUGCUCUGGCAUUCCCUGUGAUACCAGCUGGCAGCGGCCAGCCUCUGCCCUUAGGAGCACUCACACGGCGGUCCAAACCAUUAGCUGCCACGAGAGCCGCAUCGCUAGUGACAGGCGACCACAGCAGGGCAAGAAGCGCCAGCCACCAGGCAGGUGUGGAGGACUCCGUCUUGUGGCUCUUCUCCGAAGGCACGGCAUUUUUCUUCCACUCCCAAUUAACCUCCCAGGGACACAUCCUGAAGGACCGGAUCUGUCACGAGAAGUGACAAGACGGGAUCUGUGGAGCCGGCCGCCGCGGAGCAGGGGCUGGAAUCCGAGGCGGUGUUUCCUGGCAGGUCAUUUGCAUGGUUUGCCUGACUUCAGCAGAAAUGCACGGCAGAUAACCCAGAGCCGCGCGGGCACCUGCAAUUGAAGAAUUCAGAAUCACAAGUAAUGGGUCUAAAUUGGCAGGCUUUCAUGAGACUCCCACCAAUCUUCAAGCAUACAGCUGCCAUGGGUCACGUAAAAUGGUUUCCUGGAGUCUGUAUUUCUGAUGGCACCCCUGUGUCGUUGUUGGCCAUAUUUCUUUGUUCUCCAAAUUUCCUACGAUACAGUAAUGUUUCCUGCUUUUGGAAGUUGGAGCCUGGUGCGAGCCCCUACGGACCAAAAUUUGGUAGUGACUGGUGCCUUGGGAAAUUCGGACUGUUGGCCUGCCAGUUAAAGACAUGCAGAUUACACAGCGGUCGGAUUGUAGAAAACUCUGUCUGGGAAGAGAGAGGAAGGAAGAAAUGCUUUUCAAGAGUGUUCAACAACCUGAAUUUGCAUUUGUUUGCUAGAACAAAAAGUUGGCUGAAUCAUUUUUCCAGAAAGCCAAGGUUCCUUCUAUUGUCUCUCUUGGCUGACUCGCUGGUGCCUGUGACGUCAAUGACCAGCUCCAUAAUGAAUUCCAAGUGUCCUCUGGUCCGCAUCUCUCAUCUGCGUGUCUCCAAAUGGCUGCCCAACAUCGCCCUCAGAUGCCUCACUGCCACUGCAUCCUGCAAGUCUGGUCCACUUCUAGCGAGGACACCCUGUCCAUCACAUCACGCAAGUCAAACUGUAGAAGUUCUUACUGACCCCUCCCCCCUCCCUCCCAGACAUCUGCUUAUUCCCAAUGCCUGUUCUACUUCCUGUGUAACUCUCUCAUCGCUCCCCUUAUUUCCAGCUGCCCUUCACCCACUUUCCUGGUUGGAUACCAACCGCUCACAGCUAAGCUGCCUCCCUAACUAGUCCCCCUGUCUUCCUCUGCUCUUGUACUUCUUCAGCAUAUACCCCACGUGGCCACCGAAACCUUUUUCCUGAUCUCUCUGAUCGUGUCACCCCUUCUUAAAACCUCCGAUAGGUUCCAGCUACGUUUUGGAUAAAGCUGGGGUUCUUGAAGGGCGGCUUCCAAGACUCCAUUCUGUCAGGUACCCCCUGCCCCUGUCCUGGCAGCCCCCGCCCAGACGACACCUGUCUUCUUUGCACAUCACAUCAGAGGGUUGUGUCCCUGCCCCACCUGCUUUGCCCUGCUCUUUGCUCAUAGCUUUCUGGAUGCUGCCCAUCCCCUGUGUCUGAACUCAGGCACAGACCUGUCUUAUUCACACCUUCCCGGACCCUCAAGCUAGGCCAGGUGUCUUGUCACCUGUCUCAGAGAACUGCUCAUUUGCGCUAACACUCAGAACAGCUUCUGGUCACACGUGUAUCUGGCAUUACUGGAUUUGUCUCUCUUGCUAGCCUGGGCCUUCUUGGGACUAGGAACCGUGUCUAUUUUUAACCAGUGUACCCUCAGACACUUGCAAGGUGCCCCACACAUUGCUCAGUAUGUGUUCAAUGAGUGAAUAAAGCCACCAAGGCACCUCCAAAAAGG